GUGUUUGUUUUUAUUGUUGUUGUUUUGUUGGUUUGGGGUUUCUUUGUUUCUUUGGUUUGGGUUGGGUUUUUUGUUUAAUGGGUUGUUUUUUUCCCCUUGCUAAAUAGUUCCCAUAGUAUAGCAGCACUACCAUAAUGGCUACUGAGGAAAAGACUAGAAGACUUCAUGAGCUGUCUGACUGACUGAUAGUACACAUGAUGGAAAACAGAAGAGAAUUGUUAAUCUUGGCACAUGCAUGAGCUUGGACCUUAGGAAAAACAGAAUAUGCAAUAGUGUAAGUUGAACCAGGAUCAUCGUUAUGCUCGUUCAAGAGAAAGCUUCCCUCUUCCUCUAACUACAGAAGACAGUUAAUGUCCAUUUGGCUUUCCUACUUCCUCUGCAGGUGAUCGAGUUCAUGCUGCACUGUAGUAAUCCAGGUGAUUGUGUAAUUCUGUGUGAAACAACAACAACAAAACCUGAAGUGCAGCAUUAGCACAUCUCUUCAUUCACUGGGUGCUACUUCACCACUCAGAAACAACCCUUUAAACUCCUUCCAGCUCCCCUGCUUUCCUGCCUGACUGAUGCCUGCCCAGCCAGCACGUAGCUCAUGAGGGGUGGAGAGCAUACUUGUGCUCAGCCUAACAGCUCAUUAAAUCCUGGCUGUCUUCUCUGGGGGCUGGCCAGUACAUACCUGCUGGGUGCAUGUUAAGUUGUACAUAUCCUUCAUUUAAGGCCUCUUUGUGCAUAGCCAGGGAGACCUUAAAAAAACCCUGAUACACCCCCCAAAAGGAGCAAUAACAUAUCUGACCAUAGCUAAAUAAUGUAAUGUCAACCCUAUUCAUAUUUUUAUUUUGUAGAUAUUUAUUUCAAGAUAGGUCAAAUAAUACACCAUAGUAUAAUAUACACUCUUAGAUUGUACAUACAUGAGAAAGGGACAUUUCUUUUUCCUAGGCUAGCCUCAUAUUUGACAACAGGCUUCCAUUAAUGCAUUGAGAAAAUUAGCAGAUACCACUACUGGGAAGGGUGUUUUCCCUUUUUCUUUUUUCUUUUUUUAAUCCCUCUCUGACCUUCCUAAGAAACUUGCAGUUGCACAAGUUCAGGUACAACCACUUCAAAAGCCUCAGGCACAUUUUGUCUUCCAAUUUCAUUACCUCUGUAUAUGAAUUUGGGGAUGAUGGGAACAAUAUAGAACUGAACAGUUCAUUAAUCAUUAUUAUAUCAUACUUAUCAUUAAUCAUACUGAACAGAAGGAGAUUUGUUACGAGAAGGUACAAACAUGAAGCAGAAAAAAUCAAAUGCUCAGACUCAAACAUUUCUGCAGGCUUUUUGAGACAAAUGGGCUCAAGGAAUUCUAUACCUCAGAGCA